rfam:Pteropus alecto contig60147, whole genome shotgun sequence.
ACCAAUUUUUGCAACACUGAACGUGCCCGAUCCCGUCUGAUCUCGGAAGCUAAGCAGGGUCGGGCCUGGUUAGUGCUUGGAUGGGAGACCACCUAGGAAGACCGGGUGCUGUAGGUG